rnacentral:rRNA from 1 species
UCUCAUUCGGAUUGGAGUCUGCAACCCGACUCCAUGAAGCUGGAUUCGCUAGUAAUCGCGCAUCAGCCACGGCGCGGUGAAUACGUUCCCGGGCCUUGUACACACCGCCCGUCAAGCCAUGGAAGCCGGGAGUGCCUGAAGUGCGUGAGCGCAAGCAGCGCCCUAAGGUAAAACCGGUGACUGGGGCUAAGUCGUAACAAGGUAGC